rnacentral:rRNA from 1 species
GACAGAGGGUGCAAACGUUGCUCGGAAUUACUGGGCGUAAAGCGCGUGUAGGCGGGCCCCCAAGUCGGACGUGAAAGCCCUGAGCUCAACUCAGGAACUGCAUCCGAAACUGAGGGCCUGGAGUAGUGGAGAGGGAAGCAGAAUUCCUGGUGUAGAGGUGAAAUUCGUAGAUAUCAGGAGGAACACCGGUGGCGAAGGCAGGUCUCUGGGCAUUAACUGACGCUGAGGAGCGAAAGCAUGGGGAGCGAACAGG